ACACACAGAGGUACAUAUCAUCACCAGAAUUUUAAUUGCUUGGGAAUCAGAGAGAUUUUAUUCUUAAUCUUCAAAAGUGAGGACUUUAAAAGUUUGCUCAAGAACUUUGGAGUUAAGGUGUCAGGGUGAGGAAAAGUGUAAAUCUCUAACGUGGGGGUGGGGUGGGUGAGGGUGGAGAUCUGAGCAUGUACCACAGAGAGGCCGUUAUUCUCAGUGUGGCUGCCUUGGAGGAACAGGACAGAAGCACCCUUCUGCCCGUCCGUCCCCUGGAGAAGGCAGGGGGCAGGGGUAGGGAGACUAGCCCAUCUCAGAAUAUCCACACUACAGGAUUCUACAUUUUACUUGCGAUAGAGGAGGAUUCUCUUUUGUAAACCAAGAGUGAAAUAAAUAAUUUCUGAGGUUCCUUCCAAAUGAAGUGUGCUCUCAGACACCUAGUGAGAAAUACCUAAUGGUCCCAGUGCAGGUCUGGACAUUGUGUUCAGUGUGUCUCAUGUUCAGAGUUCUGGGACUUGUCUGAGCUCCUGGGUUAGGCUUUAUUUCAGAUGUCACUUAUUUGACUAAGAAAAGAAUAUAGCAGUCUCCAUUCCCCAGAGUGAAUGUGUGAAUAAGAAAAGGUCCCAGCAGGUGGAACCUUCUUUGGCAAAUGCCAAAGCUGUCUGAGGAGUUCUUUUAGAGGUAUCUUAUCAUUUAUUUAGGUUACAGGGGUUUUGUUUGUUUGUUUUUGUUUUUGUUUUUUAAAUGGAAGAAUAAAAAUCUCUGAAAGUGCUUGGCUUAAGUGUUUGAGUGUAUGUUAAUAUUUAUGGCUUUGGAAAAUAAAAGAUCUGAGUUUGGGGUAGACAAUAACUCUCUCUCUCUCUCUCUCUCUCUCUCUCUCUCUCUCUCUCUCUCUUUCUCUCUCUCUCUUAGUUCCCAGCUUAUGUGAAUUGCUUGAUUGAAUCUUAUUUACUUAAGGCAACAAGCAAAGGCUGGACUAACUAACCAAAAAUAAAGAACAGAUGGGCGUGGGGUAAAUACCCCAAGCCCCCAUUCCCCGGCGGGCCAGACCCUUCUUGUCUUGCUCCAUGGCCGUCUGCAUACUAAGCAUUCACCUCUUUUCUUCUCUCACUUUUGCUUUGAAGAGCAGCACAGAUGUAGCUGGUGACAGGCAAUUCACCAAAGUAGUUAAAAUUCCUCCAGUUGUGGCAGUUUGGUAAGCUGCAGUGUUAUUAUUGUAACCGGCUAAUUACGUAAUGUCAACAAUUGACUGAGGUGGAGGCUCCGUAUUCGUAUAAACCAGACUGGGGACAUUAGCCUCAGACUCCGGGUUGGGCACAUUUUUCUCUAUUGUGCCACAUUCUGCUGGAGAUUGGAAGGAGUUGGUUAAAGCUCCCGCUGCGUCUUAGCUGAAUCUGCUGUUUGGGGAUGGCCUGGCUUUGUUCAUCCCUAACUACGGUCCCUGCUCACCCCUCCCGUGCUGUGGAGAUGCGGUGACCUGUGUAGGUUCUUCAGAAUUACGUAGAAGGCACUUGGUGUCUUUGGUCCUUUCUCUAAAAGGCUUAUUGCAGGCUGGACAUCGGAGGGAUUCGUGUUCACGAAGCUACUUUCCGUGAUUACCAAGGCUUCUGGUAUGACUUAGUGGGUGGAAUAUGUCUUAAGAAGAAAAAAAUGCAUAAUUCUGACAAGAUGCUUUUUGAAAACUCCAACCAGCUGUUUCAAGUAGAAGACUGUAAAAUUUAUUCAAAGUAAAUUUUGUUUCCCUUGGAAGCACAUGGAGUUCAAAGAGGAUGCUAAAGUAAACAGUACAGCUUAAGUUGUUCAAAGUUUGUUCGCUGUUGUCUUUGUCCAGCUUUCGGGAGCCUCUUUCUCUGUUGUCAAGCUGUGCGCCGUUCUAAAGUUACCCUCGUAUAACCUGAAGACGGUGGGCAGGUCCUCAAAGGUACAAGGCUAGAUUUCUUCCAUAUGUCUGUGUGCCUCAGACAUGCCGGAUGAGGAUGGUGGCUGGCGGUGGGUAUUAGUUUCCCCUUGCUUCUGAAAUGAAUUCCAAUGAGCUGAGUGACCUCAAACUGCACUGAUUAACCCUCGGAUGAAUCAGACAUCUGACAUGGGCCUUCCUGGGCCAGAACAAGGGCACAGGCAGGACUGACUGCAUUACUUUCUGGUGGCUCUAGAGGAGAACACCUUCCCUCUCCUGGUUUCUGGUCCUAUUCUGCCAUCUUCAAAGCCAGCUACACUGUAUCUGUUUGAGCAUGCUUCCUUCAUCACAUCCUCAACUCAGAACCAGGUGGGGAUGCUCUGAUUUUAGAGCCCCUGUGAUUCCGUUGAGCACACCCAGAAGAUCCAGGAUACCCUCUCCCUGUAUACAGCCCCCGUUGCCAUGUAGACUAAGAGAGUUUAACAAGAAUAUUAAACCCUGAGUAUAAUCUUCCAUGCUAAAAGCACAAUGUUCAAGUAUAGAGGCAGCAGUUCAAGGAUGUUUGUGCUAAUUGUGUGUCUAAGGGGAAGAGGGACAUGAUAGAAAAAGCCUGAGACACAGGAACUGAGGAAAACAGUCUGUGAUACCAUGUGAGUGCCCGCAUGCUCACACGCACACAGUCUGAGCCGGGUUCCACUGAUGUCCCUACACAUUCACGAAAGAAAGGAAUAGAACAUUUACAUCUGAGUGCCACAGAGCCAGCUUACACUCUCUCUCCCUUGCUCUGGGACCCUCCUGACCACAUUCGAGCCAGAUCUCUGGAGCCCUUUUAUCUAAGUCUAGACCCCUAUCUGGGCAUUCCUCCCAGCUAGCUGUGCUCAACUGUGGGCAGUCAAUUUGCUUCCUUCUCCUAAGGUGAGGAAAUGGGGCCAAGUAAUUCUUUAAAUCUCCUUCAGUUCCUAUGAUUUAAUGUAUUAAGGAGGGGCCCAGACAUAGAGUCCAUCCAUCCAUCCACCCACCUGUCCAUCUAUCCGUCCACUCACCCACCCAUCCAUCCUCUUUUCUUUCUUUUUCUUCUCUUGUGUGCACAUGAUUGUGUGUAUGUGUGAACACAUUGUGUGCCAGCAUAUGUACGACUCUUCACAGACUCAAGUCCUCAGUAGCUGUGCAGUGUGUGCUUUGCUGGCUAAGCUGUCCUGUCCCCUACAGCCUUCCACACGGACUUCCUGAGAAAACAAAACAAAGGUCUCAAGACUCUUUCCUGUGAAAACUAAAAUUUUUAGCAUUUUUAUCUUCAUCCUCUCUCUCUCUCUCUCCCUGUGAUCUCAUUACAUAUACAAAUACAUAUACUUGGAUAUAAAAUGACAUAUAUUUGUUAACUAAAUACGGGAUAUUUCCUCUUUUUAUCCUUAAAUUCUAUGGAAACCCAUUUAUACAUACAUACAUACAUACAUACAUACAUACAUACAUAUAUAAUAUAUAUUAUAUGCAAAUAAGAUAAAUACAGAGACAUGAAAACACUUCAGUAACUAACUUAACUAAAAAUGAGUGAAUCAGACAGUUGACAUAGGUUAAAUGUGCCUAAUUGCAACACUAAGUCACAAAGUAACUUCUCCUAGGCUACUCUUACGUGACAAGGACUAGAAAAUGGGUUGUAUAUGGUUUUCUUGCGUACUGAAUGCACUUUUAUAACAUAUACAAAGCGUGUUUAUUCACGUCACUGUGGGCAUCCUUCAGUGCUACAACCUGCACAGCUUUAGGGAUUGAGGUCACGAGUGGAUGAAGAAUGAUGAGACACACUGACACACAGAAAAGUUGGGGCCACGUGAACUGUGUGCUCUCCUGGAGGUGUACUAGAAACUCAGAAUGUUUGUAUUGUACAUCCGGAUUGAGGAGAGCUCUUGUCUACCGAUAAACAAAGAGGUGGGUUUAGCUAGUCUCAUAGUGGGGUGUCUGUGGGGCGUGUUCUUGGGCUGUAGUCAUGAGAGGAGGGAGCUGUGGUUAGUAUUUUCUGGACACGCUGUCGGCGUCUGUUCACAUCCAGCCAGGGUCUGUGGUGUUGGCAUCCUUCACAUGCCCGCACUCGUGUUAACUGUACACAUUCACUCAGCAUGCCUGUGCUCCCCACACUGCAGUGCUCAUCCCUAGCAUGGUCUCUCUCCCUACACGUAUCGGCUUUUGUCUAGUUUAUAUCUUAGCAAAUAAAAAAUGUCUCCUUUGUUGCAAAUGAGUGUGUGUAAAGAUUCUCCAUUUAUAAGCUGGGGGCUGUUAGGGGAAGAUGCGUGUUGUCUAAAAGAAUUUAAAAUGGUAGGGUUCGGUGAUAAGUAAAACUGUAAUAAUGAGUAUGUUUGUGUCUCCCAAGAGGUGGUGUGUGCAGCUGACAUCAACAAUAUAAUUCCUGUAUUUGUUUUAUGAUAAUGGAAUUGUGUGAAAGUGCUGUACUUAAAGAUGGCUUAUAAUUCCGUUCAAAUGUAGCCAACCAUCGUACCUUCAAAAGAGUUGUAAAAAUUGCCCUGCAGCGUGUUUUGCUCUGGGUUUGAAGUGUUGUGGAGCAAGGAAGGAGAAAUAAAUUGCUAAAAAAUAAUGCUGAGAGGAGGAAGGGACCCUGAAGCUCCACCUCGCAGCAUGCCGCCUGGUGGCUAGCUGGUUGCCAUGUUGAUAGGCAGCUCAUGAUUCGAGAAAUUCCUCAGCUCUGACACUGACAAUGAGCUUGGGCCUUGGGUAAUAACUUCCUUCUGUUGUUUUGUUUUAAGCACUAGAGCCAACAUGUGAUUAAAUAGUUUAAAGGUUGCGAUAGUCUACAUUUUCACAGUUCCAGAAGCUUCCUAGUUGAAGAUCGAGGUGUGGGCAUAUUUGGUUGUAAUAAAUAGGGCUUCAGGGCAGAAAGCAA